CGGGGCGGGCGCAUGGUCGCCGGUGCCGGCGGCCCUGGCUGUCGGCACCGGAGGAAAGUCCGAACUCCGUCGGGCAGGGAGGUUCGUAACGCGAACCGGGGGCAACCCCAGGGAAAGUGCCACAGAAAAUAUACCGCCGGCGCCUCGGCGCCGGUAAGGGUGAAAUGGCGAGGUAAGAGCUCACCGCUUGCCUGGUGACAGGCAAGGCAGGGUAAACCCCUCCCGGAGCAAGAUCAAAUAGGGAAACGUUUGAGGGCGGCCCGUCCGAAGUUUCCGGGUAGAUCGCAAGAGACGCCGGGCAACCGGCGCCCUUAGAGAAAUGACCAUGGCCCAGCUUUGGGUACAGAAUUCGGCUUACAGCCCGCCCCGAUCC
rnacentral:RNase_P_RNA from 1 species